UGGGGAAUAUUGCACAAUGGGCGCAAGCCUGAUGCAGCCAUGCCGCGUGUGUGAAGAAGGCCUUCGGGUUGUAAAGCACUUUCAGCGGGGAGGAAGGCGGUGAGGUUAAUAACCUCAUCGAUUGACGUUACCCGCAGAAGAAGCACCGGCUAACUCCGUGCCAGCAGCCGCGGUAAUACGGAGGGUGCAAGCGUUAAUCAGAAUUACUGGGCGUAAAGCGCACGCAGGCGGUCAGUCAAGUCGGAUGUGAAAUCCCCGGGCUCAACCUGGGAACUGCAUUCGAAACUGGCAGGCUAGAGUCUUGUAGAGGGGGGUAGAAUUCCAGGUGUAGCGGUGAAAUGCGUAGAGAUCUGGAGGAAUACCGGUGGCGAAGGCGGCCCCCUGGACAAAGCCUGACGCUCGGGUGCGAAAGCGUGGGGAGCAAACAGG
rnacentral:rRNA from 1 species